GACAGAGGUGCCAAGCGUUAGGCGGAAUCACUGGGCUUAAAGCGUGUGUAGGCGGAGUGCUAAGUACCUUGUGAAAUCCCACGGCUCAACCGUGGAACUGCUGGGUAUACUGGUUCUCUUGAGCGACCCAGGGGCGAGCGGAACAAACGGUGGAGCGGUGAAAUGCGUAGAGAUGCGGAGGAACACCGAUGGCGAAGGCAGCCCCCUGGGCUGACACUGACGCUCAGGCACGAAAGCGUGGGGAGCAAACAGG
rnacentral:rRNA from 1 species